rnacentral:rRNA from 1 species
AUUGAACGCUGGCGGAAUGCUUUACACAUGCAAGUCGAGCGGCAGCGCGGGGGCAACCCUGGCGGCGAGCGGCGAACGGGUGAGUAACAUAUCGGAACGUACCCAGUCGUGGGGGAUAACUAUCCGAAAGGAUAGCUAAUACCGCAUACGACCUGAGGGUGAAAGCGGGGGACCGUAAGGCCUCGCGCGAUUGGAGCGGCCGAUAUCGGAUUAGCUAGUUGGUGAGGUAAAGGCUCACCAAGGCGACGAUCCGUAGCUGGUCUGAGAGGACGACCAGCCACACUGGAACUGAGACACGGUCCAGACUCCUACGGGAGGCAGCAGU